rnacentral:rRNA from 1 species
CCUACGGGUGGCAGCAGUGAGGAAUAUUGGUCAAUGGACGAGAGUCUGAACCAGCCAAGUAGCGUGAAGGAUGACUGCCCUCUGGGUUGUAAACUUCUUUUAUAUGGGAAUAAAAUGUUCCACGUGUGGGAUUUUGUAUGUACCAUAUGAAUAAGGAUCGGCUAACUCCGUGCCAGCAGCCGCGGUAAUACGGAGGAUCCGAGCGUUAUCCGGAUUUAUUGGGUUUAAAGGGAGCGUAGGUGGAUUGUUAAGUCAGUUGUGAAAGUUUGCGGCUCAACCGUAAAAUUGCAGUUGAAACUGGCAGUCUGGAGUACAGUAGAGGUGGGCGGAAUUCGUGGUGGAGCGGUGAAAUGCUUAGAUAUCACGAAGAACUCCGAUUGCGAAGGCAGCUCACUGGACUGCAACUGACACUGAGGCUCGAAAGUGUGGGUAUCAAACAGGAUUAGAUACCCGAGUAGUC